rnacentral:rRNA from 1 species
CUGCGAAGGUGUCUCGUAAGGGAUGCUGGAGGUAUCAGAAGUGCGAAUGCUGACAUGAGUAGCGAUAAAGGGAGUGAAAAGCUCCCUCGCCGAAAACCCAAGGUUUCCUGCGCAACGUUCAUCGGCGCAGGGUGAGUCGGCCCCUAAGGCGAGGCAGAAAUGCGUAGUCGAUGGGAAACAGGUCAAUAUUCCUGUACCACUCUUUAAUGCGAUGGGGGGACGGAGAAGGUUAGAUCAGCCGGGUGUUGGACGUCCCGGUUUAAGCGUGUAGUCGUGCCUGGUAGGCAAAUCCGCCGGGCUUAGACGAGGCGUGAUGACGAGGGCUCAUUGAGCCUGAAGUGAUUAAUACCAUGCUUCCAGGAAAAGCCUCUAAGCUUCAGUUAAAGAGUGACCGUACCGCAAACCGACACAGGUGGGUAGGUAGAAAAUACCAAGGCGCUUGAGAGAACUCAGGAGAAGGAACUCGGCAAAUUGACACCGUAACUUCGGGAGAAGGUGUGCCUCUUGUAUGUGAAGCCCCUGCGGGCGGAGCAGAAGGAGGUCUCAGAGAAUCGGUGGCUGCGACUGUUUAUUAAAAACACAGCACUCUGCAAACACGAAAGUGGACGUAUAGGGUGUGACGCCUGCCCGGUGCCGGAAGGUUAAGUGAUGGGG